GAGAGGAGGAGAAAGAAAGGAAAAGAAAGAAAGAAGAAGAAAGAUUAAAAGAAAGAAAAAGAAAAAAAGAAGUAUAAAGGGGAUAAAGAAGAAUAAAAGAGGAAAGUCGAGAGGGAGCAAAAGAAGAGAGAGAAAGACAGAAUAGGCUCUUAUUUUAUUCAAUGACCAUAACAAUACUAUGUAUCUCAUAUUUAUGUUCUCUUUAUACAAUUUCCCUCUCAUUUUAUGUUAAAACUAAUUAUUCAACUAAUUAGCUUCCCUUUAACUAAGCUCAGCUCCACAGCUCACUCAACUGGCUCUAUAACUCUCUCUUCUAAUUAGUCACAGUAUAAUCCUUCCCUUUGAAAUCAUUCUUAAAUGAAUGUGGGAUAGGGAUAUGAAUAAAAGAAAGAUCUUCUCUGCAAGCAUCUUUAAUGCCAAGUUUGAAUAUGCACUUGAAUGCGAAGACUGAAUUGGCACUAGGCUUUUUCUUGCAUUCCAAGCGGAGGGGCAUGAAAAUGUUGAAAUCCUACAUUCAUUAUCUCCAAAUUUCUCAUUCCACCCACUAGCAUUAUUACCCUCUCCAUACAUCUAUGGGUAUCAACAACCCUAUCUCUGUUCCAAAUGUGAAUAUUUGAAAAUUUUUUCAUUCCUUACUUUUGCAUAUUGAAAUUAGCUUUCACAAAGGAGAGAGAGAAAUACCUCUUAAUUAUUAGAGCUCUAUCAUAUUGCUUCCUAUCUUCUAUAUAUUUAUUUGUAUUAGUUAUAUAGCAAAGAUAUUUAGACAUGAAGCAAUGGUGACGAUAUUUAUAUAGAUCCUUGAUUGACGUAAUUGACUUACACUUAAGCUUGCAUAUACAAUGGUACUACUUGCAGAGAAAAAAUGAUGCAUCAAUUAGCAAUAUUAAGACUAGAUAGCAGGAAUCCGUUGCUUAUCUUCCUGUUUAGCUGUACUUAGCAACUGUCUUUUCAUUUCUAUGACUCUCAUGUUGAUCCAUGUCCCACCUUAAUUUAUUUCAUUUCCUAAAGCUCGUAAGUCAUACCCACUUUGAGCAUGCGCUUCUGAGGAAUAUCAAACACCUUCUCACUUUGUCUUAAGUUUCUUUUCAAGAAAUUGUAUGCAUAAUCUAUCAAAAUUCUUUUCGCAAUAUUUGAUCCUUUGCCUGCAACCACAUCGUUCUCACCGAUCAAGUGAACAACUCCAGCACGCCAUGCUUUGUCGAUCAUAUCCAACUGGUUAUCCACAUCCUCUAAAUCUUCUUGCAUUGUGUUUCUAUUUUCAUCAACUUGUCCAUCAUCCAAUUCUUGAUCAUUGACAGUUUCACCUUUACUAAGAAUUGCCUGCCUUAAACAGUAAUCAUCUCUGACGAACUCCGUCAAUUUUUCAAUCAGCAUUCUCUCAAAGGGCUCAUUCUCAUUGCGAACAUCGGUGUAUCCAUAUCGUGCUACACAACGAAAAACGUUGAGCUCCAUUGGUUCUACUUUGCGGAAAAGGAAUCGUUCUUCCACUGGAACCUUUCCAAUCGGAAGUGAUUUGAUGGAAACAAAAACAAGUACAGAGUGAAGUGCAGGCACAUUUGCCACAUAAUGCUUGAAGAUGGGAGGGAUACCCUGAACAAGCUCAGAGUAGAACAUGGCAAGUCCCGGAAGUCUACUAAAAUUGGUCUCAGCAGCAAUCUCCUUCAGCUUAUCUGGAGAAAACUUGUUUUCGAGCUCAUAAUAGUACUUUCUUCGGUACACAUCAUUCCAGACAAACAUUACAGUCAUCAGAACUGCAGCAAAGGCUAACGGUAAAUAUCCUCCUUGAUCAAAUUUGUAGAGGACCGAACUUAAAUACACAAGCUCCACCACGCCAAUGGUUAGCACAUAGGCAAUUACAAGGAGAAUGUUUGUUUUCCAAAUCAUGAGCAUGAUCAAUACGAGAAAGGCUGAUGUGAGAGUCAUUACAAACACCACAGCAAUCCCUGUAAACAGCAGUUUGAUUCAUUAGUUUCGCCAUAUAUUGGAGAAGUAAUUGGAAUUAAAUAAAUAUGUUGAUUGUGGCUUACCAUAUGCAUUGCCAAUAUUCGUAGUACUUCUGAAACCAAGAGUAACUGCUACACAAGCAAUCAUAAGAAGGUAAUUGAUUUCAGGAAUGUAGACUUGUCCUUCAUAUUUGGUCGAUGUGUGCACAAUUUUCACACGAGGGAAGCAUCCGAGUGAGAGCGAUUGCUGGAUGAUAGAAAAGGUCCCAGAAAUCAUGGCUUGACUUGCAAUGAUUGAAGCCAUCACAGCCACCGCAAACAUGGGCCAGUAGAGAGGGUCUGGUAUAGACUUGUAAAAGGUUUCGGAGACAAGAUCAUUGUGCUUCCUAAGGAAAGCAGCUUGUCCAGUGUAUGCACAUAAAAGAGCUGGGUAGGUCACAGUGCACAUACUUAUUUGUAUGGAUCGAACUGUGAAAUGUCCAACAUCUGCAAAUAGGGCCUCAGUUCCUGUUAUGGCAAGGACAACACCACCAAGGGAAAUCCAUGCUUUAUCUUUGUUCCUCUUGAAAUAAUCUACUAUAUACUUGGGGUUUAAAGCUUUGAUAACAGCAGGAUCAUUUUUGAAGAAAUUGUAAACGCCAAUGCCACCAAUCAUUGCAAACCAAACACAAAUUAUUGGAGCAAAAGCGUAGCCCACUUUAUCAGUUCCGAAUCUUUGAACCAUGAACAGGCAGAUCAAGAUCACUACUGAUAUCCAUACAAUCAUAUUAUCAGUCAUUUUUGUAGUGGCUUGCUUGAUCCCUCCAACAGCUGACAUAACUGAAAUACAAGGAGUCAGAACACCAUCUCCGAUGACCAUAGAAGUACCAAGCAUGGUGGCAAAGAGCAGAAAAAAUUUGGCAAAUUUACUAUUCUCCAGCUUAGAUUUUAGUUUUGUUGCCCUUUUCAUGCUCUUGCUAGGCAAUUCCAGCUGAAAAUUAGAUACUUCGCGAUCCUCCGCCUGUUGACUUGGGAUUAAUCCUACUUUAGCAUAUCUGCAUACCAGCGAGUACAAAGCAAAUGUCCCUCCAUCGCCAUUAUCGUUGGCACGCAAGACGAUUAAGACGUACUUGAUGAGAGGGAUAAGAGUGAUGGUAUACAGAAUCAAAGAAAGUACACCCAAGAUGUCAUCGUUGUGGCGGAUACCAUCAGUGAAAGUGCUCGAGUACACAUACAGCGGUGAUGUACCGAUAUCUCCAUACACUAUCCCAAUGCUCUGGAAUGCCAAUUGCAAGAUCACUGACCAACUGACAGCCUUAGAACCAUGGAGUUGACGUCCAGAAAACUUGCGGGAUUCGAUUUCCAGGGAGUCAUUGCGGCGCAACUUUUGCCAGGAAAGUUUCUUUCCAUUCAAGGGCUUGGAAAAAUGAUCUGAGCUGUCUCCAAUAUUGAUGCUUUGAUCUACUACGUUACCAUUUUCAGCCAUUUUCUCGUAACUCUAGCUUUCGUUUUGGUUAGGAGAUGAGAUAAGAAGCGAUGAAAAUUUAAAGGCAAAAAGGGUAUCUUAAUUACGAGUCAAACUCUGAUGGCUUGGCUUCCAAUGUGUGGGGGCGUGGCGCUGUGAGUUGUGGGGGUUCGG
rnacentral:misc_RNA from 1 species